rnacentral:rRNA from 1 species
UGCAGUCGACGAUGACUGGAGCUUGCUCCAGGGAUUAGUGGCGAACGGGUGAGUAACACGUGAGUAACCUGCCCUUGACUCUGGGAUAAGCGCUAGAAAUGGCGUCUAAUACCGGAUACGAGCUUCAGCCGCAUGGCUAGGAGUUGGAAAGAAUUUUGGUCAAGGAUGGACUCGCGGCCUAUCAGCUAGUUGGUGAGGUAAUGGCUCACCAAGGCGACGACGGGUAGCCGGCCUGAGAGGGUGACCGGCCACACUGGGACUGAGACACGGCCCAGACUCCUACGGGAGGCAGCAGUGGGGAAUAUUGCACAAUGGGCGAAAGCUUGAUGCAGCAACGCCGCGUGAGGGAUGACGGCCUUCGGGUUGUAAACCUCUUUUAGUAGGGAAGAAGCGAAAGUGACGGUACCUGCAGAAAAAGCACCGGCUAACUACGUGCCAGCAGCCGCGGUAAUACGUAGGGUGCAAGCGUUGUCCGGAAUUAUUGGGCGUAAAGAGCUCGUAGGCGGUUUGUCGCGUCUGCUGUGAAAUCUGGGGGCUCAACCCCCAGCCUGCAGUGGGUACGGGCAGACUAGAGUGCGGUAGGGGAGAUUGGAAUUCCUGGUGUAGCGGUGGAAUGCGCAGAUAUCAGGAGGAACACCGAUAGCGAAGGCAGAUCUCU